rnacentral:lncRNA from 1 species
GUUGUUUAGUCUUACAGAACAGAUCAAAGAACUAUCUACUAAAUGACAAACAGCCUCUUCCCUCCCUUUACCCAGUGGAAGUGUUGUUUGACAUGUGUCUGAAAUAAAUACAACAUUGCACACCAUAUUUUAUAGGGGACUUUUACGCAAUAUGACCAGAUGUUUAAUUUAAGCUGUAAACCUCUCACUUUCUUUAAAUAAGUCUGUCAGUAAAACUAGAGCGAAAAAAAUCCUGUGCCUUUAAAGAUCAUUAAGGCAAUAUAGCUUGUUCUCCACACAAAUAUUUUCAGAGGGAAGGUUAACUUAUGUUUCCUUUUAUUUUAUUUAUUGAGGACAUAAUAUGGACUGUUUAGCUUGACAUUUACACAUCAGUCCAUUAGCUUACACCAUUUGAGGUGAGUCAUGCUCUGUCACGAGAUCUAGUGAUGAUGUUAAAUACAGAUGGAGGUUUCAGGUUUGUAAAUUACAUCGUUGCUUUGUUACGCUCUAGUCAUAAAGUGGAACAUUUCUUUCAAGGUUUACCACACUACCACACUCCAUCCCACCAAAAUUAAACACAUUUAGUCAGAUUGUUUUCUCCAAAUGCUUAAUGCUGAUCUAUAACUCAUGGAGUUGUCACUGACCAUGUUACCUGACCAGUAAAAGGAUUUACCAAACUGAGUUUACUGGUCAGGUGAUGUGGCCAGGAAAAGGUUUUACCAAACUGAGUUUACUGGUCAGGUGAUGUGGUCAGGAAAAGGUUUUACCAAACUGAGUUUACUGGUCAGGUGAUGUGGUCAGGAAAAGGUUUUACCAAACUGAGUUUACUGGUCAGGUGAUGUGGUCAGGAAAAGGGUUUUACCAGGCUGAGUUUCCUGGUCAGGUGAUGUGGUCAGGAAAAGGGUUUUACCAGGCUGAGUUUACUGGUCAGGUGAUGUGGUCAGGAAAAGGUUUUAUCAAACUGAGUUUACUGGUCAGGUGAUGUGGUCAGGAAAAGGUUUUACCAAACUGAGUUUACUGGUCAGGUGAUGUGGUCAGGAAAAGGGUUUUACCAGGCUGAGUUUACUGGUCUGGUGAUGUGGUCAGGAAAAGGGUUUUACCAGGCUGAGUUUACUGGUCAGGUGAUGUGGUCAGGAAAAGGUUUUACCAAACUGAGUUUACUGGUCAGGUGAUGUGGUCAGGAAAAGGUUUUACCAAACUGAGUUUACUGGUCAGGUGAUGUGGUCAGGAAAAGGGUUUUACCAGGCUGAGUUUCCUGGUCAGGUGAUGUGGUAAGGAAAAGGGUUUACCAGGCUGAAUUUACUGCCUACUAGGCACAGAUGUCAAUUCAAUGUCUAUUCCACGUUGGUUCAACUUAAUUUCAUUGAAAUCACGUGGAAACAGUGUUGAUUCAACCAAUGGGUGGGUGGUCAGGUGACUUGGUAAAGAAAAAUGGUUUACCAGACUGAGUUUACUGGUGAGGUGAUCUGGUUAACAAGACUGGGUUUCCUGGUCAGGUGAUGUGGUCAGGAAAAACUCAUGGCCUUACUUAUGGGCAAUAGCAGUAGGACAUUAAAUGUUGCCAUGAUUCAUGACAUCCUCCAUUCAUGAUUCACAGGAAGGGACAAGUUAAUGAUCUGGGGCUUGUGGAGAGUUGAGUCUCUCUAUCGUGUUGAUUUGAGGGUGCUAAUGUUGAGGUGGAGGCCUACUCUGUUGAGCAGUGGUCUGAUAUGGCUCUUCAUUGGCGGUGUCUUCCCAUCCUCCCCCGUGUUGUGUGCGUCAAGCCCAUGGGACAGUAACAAGGUCCAUAUGUAGCCUCUUCCUCCGGCCUCCCCCCCAAACCUGAGGGGGGUAGUGUUAACAGGAUGACAGCCUAUUGAUUUACUCACAGAAAGAGAAGGGGGAAUGAAAGAGUGAGAGUGAGAGAGAGAGAGAGAGAGAGAGAGAAAGAAAGAAAGAAAGAAAGAAAGAAAGAAAGAAAGAAAGAAAGAAAGAAAGAAAGAAAGAAAGAAAGAAAGAAAGAAAGAAAGAAAGAAAGAAAGAAAGAAAGAAAGAAAGAAAGAAAGAAAGAGUAAUAGCUCAAAUAAUUUGAAGUAGAAUCCCCAAAACAUACGGUCAAGAAUCAAGACUAGUUUCUGGGUUGGAAGGUGCCUGUAACUACCACCAGAAACUACUAGAUGUGUGUUUAAUGUGACUUAAACUGCUAGUAAUUUUAGCUUGCUUAUUUUUUUAUGACUAUGUUUUUAUGACUGACACUUUUUAUGACUAACAUUUUCUUACCAGAAGCAUUUGAAGAAGUCAUCCUUUUCA